rnacentral:rRNA from 1 species
AACAGGAUUAGAUACCCUGGUAGUCCACACAGUAAACGAUGAAUACUCGCUGUUUGCGAUAUACAGUAAGCGGCCAAGCGAAAGCGUUAAGUAUUCCACCUGGGGAGUACGCCGGCAACGGUGAAACUCAAAGGAAUUGACGGGGGCCCGCACAAGCGGAGGAACAUGUGGUUUAAUUCGAUGAUACGCGAGGAACCUUACCCGGGCUUGAAUUGCAACUGAAUGAUGUGGAGACAUGUCAGCCGCAAGGCAGUUGUGAAGGUGCUGCAUGGUUGUCGUCAGCUCGUGCCGUGAGGUGUCGGCUUAAGUGCCAUAACGAGCGCAACCCUUAUCGAUAGUUACCAUCAGGUUAUGCUGGGGACUCUGUCGAGACUGCCGUCGUAAGAUGUGAGGAAGGUGGGGAUGACGUCAAAUCAGCACGGCCCUUACGUCCGGGGCUACACACGUGUUACAAUGGGGGGUACAGAAGGCAGCUACACGGCGACGUGAUGCUAAUCCCUAAAGCCUCUCUCAGUUCGGAUUGGAGUCUGCAACCCGACUCCAUGAAGCUGGAUUCGCUAGUAAUCGCGCAUCAGCCACGGCGCGGUGAAUACGUUCCCGGGCCUUGUACACACCGCCCGUCAAGCCAUGAAAGCCGGGGGUACCUGAAGUGCGUAACCGCGAGGAGCGCCCUAGGGUAAAACUGGUGAUUGGGGCUAAGUCGUAACAAGGUAACC